rnacentral:rRNA from 1 species
AUUGAACGCUGGCGGCAGGCCUAACACAUGCAAGUCGAGCGGAUGACGGGAGCUUGCUCCUGGAUUCAGCGGCGGACGGGUGAGUAAUGCCUAGGAAUCUGCCCGGUAGUGGGGGACAACGUUUCGAAAGGAACGCUAAUACCGCAUACGUCCUACGGGAGAAAGCAGGGGACCUCCGGGCCUUGCGCUAUCAGAUGAGCCUAGGUCGGAUUAGCUAGUUGGUGAGGUAAUGGCUCACCAAGGCGACGAUCCGUAACUGGUCUGAGAGGAUGAUCAGUCACACGGGAACUGAGACACGGUCCAGACUCCUACGGGAGGCAGCAGUGGGGAAUAUUGGACAAUGGGCGAAAGCCUGAUCCAGCCAUGCCGCGUGUGUGAAGAAGGUCUUCGGAUUGUAAAGCACUUUAAGUUGGGAGGAAGGGCAGUAAGCGAAUACCUUGCUGUUUUGACGUUACCGACAGAAUAAGCACCGGCUAACUCUGUGCCAGCCGCCGCAGUAAAAC